UAAAUGUUGUGGAGGGUGUCCUGUCCAUUGUAGGAUGUGUAACAGCAUCCCUGGUUUCUACCCACUAGAUGCCAGCAACUUCCUCAGUCAUGA